rnacentral:lncRNA from 1 species
AGGUAUUUCAUCCAUAAUCCUUUAUAUCCUUUUCCCAACGUAGACAAGGGCAUUCCAUGCUCACUGCCUCCGGGAGAGGAGAACUCGGCAGAAUACAGUUGGCAGGUUUUAAAGCAAGACAUACAGAUGGAAGAGAGAUGGAAGAGGAACGGCACAGAGAGAGAAGGCAGGUGCAGAAUCACAAAGCAUCUGAACCCAUGAGGAGGUAGACGCAAAGGAGUAGGAGACACACAGCAGGAUCAAAUCAGUCGGGAGCAAAAUAGGAAGAAUCUGGAAAAGAAGAAAUAAAAGCAGAAUUUUAGACAGGACCUAGUACACUCAAGGUUCCUGCCAAUUGCUAACGAAGCUGAAGUCUCCCUAUCAGUAAAAGAAAUAAAUAUUGGAUACCAAGAGCCUCAGAGACUUAUACUGAGUUGAAGAUGGAAGCAAUGAAAAAAGAGACUCACUGUAUUAGCAAGUGGAUACUUGGUGCUGCUGGACUGCAAAAUUUGUCUAAAGAUUAAGAAAAUAUUAGGGAAAAUCUCCUAUAGAUAGGGCAGGUAUAAAGUAAACACAGUGUACUAGUCCAUUCUCAUACCACUAAUACUGCUAUGAAGAAAUACCCGAGACUGGGUAAUUUAUAAAGAAAAAGAGGCUUCAUGGAUUCACAGUUCCACAUGGCUGGGGAGGCCUCACAAUCAUGGUGGAAGGCGAAGGAGGAGCAGAGGCACAUCUUACAUGGCGGCAGGAAAGAGACCGUCUGCAGGGGAGCUGCCCUUUAUAAAAUCAUCUGAUUCACUACCACAAGAACAGCAUGGGAAAAACCUGCCCCUAUGAUUCAAUUACCUCUUACCGGGUCCCUCCCACAACAUGUGGGGAUAAUGGCAGCGACAAUUCAAGAUGAGAUCUGGGUGGGGACACAGUGAAACCAUAUCACACAGAAUAGUCUGGAAUACUAAAAAUAAGGUCGCACUGUAAAGGCAUUGAAGCAUAGGAACAGGACAGAUGGGUGUGGCUUGGGAAAGGGGAAAGAUUGGCACUUUUAUUCCAGGAUUGGGCCCCAUCUCAUUUUAGCUCACCAAAUUCUUGAGUAUCAACCUGUUCUGAAAUUGAUUAGAAUGGAGUGUUAAAAAAAGUAAGUUGAUAUUUUUUAUUUGAUAUUCUUAUACUCUUGUGGCUUAAGUGGUGCUGGCAUUUUUAUUUCAAUUUUAUAGAUAAGGAAAAUGAAAUAAAAAGAGGGUGACACAUAGAAAAUGCAUGAUAGAGCCAGCAACUGUCUCUACGGACUUGUGGUGUACUUUUAUUCCAUUAGAUUACAAAAAAACUGGAUUUGUUUGUGAAUAAGAUUAGAGUCAUUUUCAAAUUAAAUUUAUCAGCUACAUGGAAAAAUUAUCUUCUUUACCUUAGAGGCACUCCUUGUGGGUGUAUUUUGUCCCCACCAAAUUAGCUUUAUUUAGGGGAACCUAAAUUUAUUCUACUAAAACUACUCGAAAUGACAUUCGUUUGUUUCCAAAAAUUAAAUCCAUACUCCAAAGGUGUGUAAUUUGACUAAAUUAAAAAAAAAAAUCUGCAUGCCAGAAAGUAAAAGUAGAGUGAAAAGAUAGAUGACAGACACAUCAUGACUAAGGCUGAGACCUUUCAUAUAGAAAAAGAUCAAUAAUUCAGUGGGAAGAAAUGGGGAAAAAUCAUAAACUGUCAGGUCAAACAAAAGGAAAUACAAACAGUUUUAAGAGAUAUGAAAGAUGUUCUAAUUUAGAAAAUGAAAAUUAGGCUGGACAUGGUGGCUCACGUCUGUAAUCCCAGCACUUUGGGAGGCCAAGGUGGGUGGAUCACCUGAGGUCAGGGGUUCGAGACCAGCCUGACCAAUAUGGUGAACCCCCAUCUCUACUAAAAAUACAAAAAUUAGCCAGGUGGACACAAGCCUGUGAUCCCAGCUUCUCAGGAGGCUGAGACAGGAGAAUGGCAUGAACCCAGGAGGCAGAGGUUGCAGUGAGCUGAGAUCGUGCCACUGCACUCCAGCCUGGGCAACAGAGCGAGACUCUGUCUCAAAAAAAAAAAAAAGAGAAAGAAAAGAAAAGAAAAAGAAAAUUAACACUGAGUUUCUAUUUUUCACAUAUUAGAUUGGGAAAAAAUCCCAAUGCUUGAUAAUUAAAGCUUGUUUCAGAAGGACUGAAGAAACUGGUACUCUCACACAAGAUGAGAGACUCUAUCAUCAAGAUAGCAACAUCUACCAAAAAUUGUCAAGCCCUUUGACAUAUUUCCAAUAAUUUACCGAGAAAAAGUUCUCACUUUUGUGAGAUGAUAUGCAUGCUAAGAUAUUCUCUGCAGCAUGAGCUAUUAUAGCAAAAGCCUGGAAACAACUUAAACGUCCAUUAGUAAGGAGAUUAAUUCAAUAUAUUAUGAUUCAU